rnacentral:tRNA from 1 species
AUUUAGAUAGUUUAAUAAAAAUGUUGAUUUGUGGUGUCAAAGUUGUAUAAUAUAUACUUUAAAUU